GUCUCUUUGUUAUUUACAUAUAUAAAGAGUCGGGCCUGCUCGGUGAUUGAAUUUUAACAGCUGCGGUAUUUUAACUGUACUAAGGUAGCAUAAUAAUUUGCCUUAUAAUUUGAGGCUAGAAUGAAUGGUUUGACGAAGGUUAAUCUGUCUCUAUCCUAUUUUUUAGAAAUUAAUUUUUAAAGUGAAAAAGCUUGAAUUUUUUAAAGGGACGAGAAGACCCUAUUGAGCUUAUAAUUUUAUUCUUGUUUUUAGUAUUAGUAAAUGAGAUAUAAAUUUUAAUUGGGGUGAUUAAGGAAUAAAAAUGUAUUAACUUCCUUACAUUUUAUAUUGUUAGGUAAAGUAACCAAUAAAUUAUUGCUUAUAAUACAGUUACCAUAGGGAUAACAGCGUAAUUUGUUUAGAGAGUUCUUAUUGAAAAACAAGAUUGCGACCUCGAUGUUGGAUUAAAGUAACCUUAAGGUGCAGAAGCUUUAGAAAGGUAAAUCUGUUCGAUUUUUAAAACUUUACA
rnacentral:rRNA from 1 species